AGACCCGAGCUUGAUGAAAUCUUGUGGUCUUUCUCACAUACUGUUUUCUUUGUGACUUCCUCCCCCAGGACCUUGAAAGGAUGCUGAACAUUCCUCAUCAGAAACCUGAGGAGGACACUGAAAAGACAGCCACAAUUUUCCUUCUGCUUGCUGCCAAGUUUCUUGAGGGCUCAGCUGUUGGGAACUUGACUGCUAUCUUGGAGCAAGUGGAGUUCUCAGCAUCAAACUUGGGCAUUUGACCAACUUACUCAUCAACCUCAGGCAACAUUAGAACACGGCAACCUCCCCCACAUGCAGAAAGAUGCCUUUCUGUGGGUAUUCUUGAAGAAAAGGAAAGGAAGCAAGAGCUAGACCAUGCAUGACUUCUUCUCCUAAACUCACCAACCAGGUAAGUCAGUUCACUUCCCCGGGAAGGGGUGCUGGGGUGGAGGCAUGUGUAAGGGAACAGAAGAGGCCAGGUGUGUUCUGCCAGUGGAUGUCCUUUGACCUGGACAAGAUAAAAU
rnacentral:lncRNA from 1 species